GAUGAACGCUAGCGGCAGGCUUAAUACAUGCAAGUCGAGGGACAGCACAGGUAGCAAUACUGGGUGGUAACCGGCAAACGGGUGCGGAACACGUACACAACCUUCCUUUAAGUGGGGGAUAGCCCAGAGAAAUUUGGAUUAAUACCCCGUAAUAUAGUUGAAUGGCAUCAUUUGAUUAUUAUAGCUACGGCGCCUAAUGAUGGGUGUGCGGCUGAUUAGAUAGUUGGCGGGGUAACGGCCCACCAAGUCUACGAUCAGUAGCUGAUGUGAGAGCGUGCUCAGCAACACGGGAACUGGGACAGGGGCCCGACUCCUACGGGAGGCAGCAGUAAGGAAUAUUGGUCAAUGGACGCAAGUCUGAACCAGCCAUGCCGCGUGAAGGAUUAAGGUCCUCUGGAUUGUAAAUUUCUUUUAUUUGGGACGAAAAAGGGCCUUUCUAGGUCAACUGACGGUACCAGAUGAAUAAGCACCGGCUAACUCCGUGCCAGCCGCCGCGGUAACAC
rnacentral:rRNA from 1 species